rnacentral:rRNA from 1 species
UACGGAGGAUGCAAGCGUUAUCCGGAAUGAUUGGGCGUAAAGCGUCCGCAGGUGGCUGUGUAAGUCUGCUGUUAAAGAGUGAGGCUCAACCUCAUAAAGGCAGUGGAAACUACAUGGCUAGAGUGCGUUCGGGGCAGAGGGAAUUCCUGGUGUAGCGGUGAAAUGCGUAGAGAUCAGGAAGAACACCAGUGGCGAAGGCGCUCUACUGGGCCGUAACUGACACUGAGGGACGAAAGCUAGGGGAGCGAAAGGG